rnacentral:rRNA from 1 species
AUUGAACGCUGGCGGCAGGCCUAACACAUGCAAGUCGAACGAGUGGCGGACGGGUGAGUAAUGUCUGGGCAACUGCCCGAUGGAGGGGGAUAACUACUGGAAACGGUAGCUAAUACCGCAUACCAUCGGAUGUGCCCAGAUGGGAUUCGCUAGUAGGUGGGGUAACGGAUCACCAAGGCGACGAUCCCUAGCUGGUCUGAGAGGAGGACCAGUAAAACUGGAAAUGAGACACGGGCCAGAGUCCUACGGGAGGCAGCAGUGGGGAAUAUUGGACAAUGGGCGAAAGCCUGAUGCAGCCAUGCCGCGUGUAUGAAGAAGGCCUUCGGGUUGUAAAGUACUUUCAGCGAGGAGGCGUUACUAGCAGAAGAAGCACCGGCUAACUCCGUGCCAGCAGCCGCGGUAAUAC